UAUUUCUAUACCCAUUUCUUGUAAAUGGAACCAUUACAGGAAUAAAGGGGCCAUAAUUUCACUUUCAAUAUGACUCUGUUUUAGACAGGAGAGAACGACUGCCCCAUCUCAUUAAGGAUCUCAAGUUGAAGGCCGACCAAAAUACUGAAGGUGGUUGUAUCCAGAAAGCAGGAUACUCCAUUAUAGUCAAUAGGAAAAUGGCAAUCUUUGUGGUCAAUAUUUGUUUCAGAAGACAAUAAAGGUUACAAUACUUGUGAAAUUUUGGACCGGGGUGAUGUCUGGAAAGGACAUUUUCCUAUCAUUAAAGGAUAAAGGGUCCGGUUAGCCCUGACCAUUAUCCGUUUCGAAUUCACCGACUCAAAGACGCUUGCCCGCUCCAUCAUAACUCUGUAAGUUUUCCCUCCCUGUUUAGAUCAAACGUCCUGCCUGUAAAUCCUGGAUAUGCCCACAUCAUUAAUUAAUAAGAUGUGUAGAAAACUGUUUAGCCAUAGUUAAAGGCCUUUCAUAAAGAGGCUGUCAUGAUUGCAUGUGUCACAUGUUUAACACGUAUUGCUUGUUACAGAAUAGUACUGUUGUACAUUUAAUAUCCCCUAGCAGAUUUCGUCGCAUUUGCACAAAUUCUGUCAUGUUACUGUGGUCUUUUUAAAUGUCAAUAAAUAUGUAUGUAAAGUGUACAUGUUUGUUUCACUGUAGAUUUGUUUAAGCCAUCCUAGAAACACCUAAUUUCAUCAUCCCACAGCAUUAAUUAAUGAGCUGUGUAGAAGCUGUUUAGCCCUAAGUAAAGGCCUUUCAUAAAGAGGCUGUCAUGAUAAACCUGAAUCCGUAAGUUUUCCAUCCAUGUGUAGAUCAAACGUCCUGCCUGUAAAUCCUGGGUAUGCCCACAUCAUUAAUUAAUAAGAUGUGUAGAAAACUGUUUAGCCAUAGUUAAAGGCCUUUCAUAAAGAGGCUGUCAUGAUUGCAUGUGCCUCAUGUUUAACACGUAUUGCUUGUUACAGAAUAGUACUGUUGUACAUUUAAUAUCCCCUAGCAGAUUUCGUUGCAUUUGCACAAAUUCUGUCAUGUUACUGUGGUCUUUUUAAAAGUCAAUAAAUAUGUGUGUGAAGUGUA